rnacentral:tRNA from 1 species
AUUUAUAUAGUAUAAAUUAAUAUAAUUAAUUUCGAAUUAAUAGAUAAAAAAAAAUUUUUAUAAAUU